CUUAUGAUAGUAAUAUAUGACUACCAUUGUCUCAUUGAUGAGGCCCUGCUGAAACGAAGGUCAAAUACUUAAUCUAAACCCCUAACAAGCCCUAACUUUCAUAACCUUAAGAUCAGCAAUGCCACAUAUUCAGACAGUGGACAGUAUGUUUGUGCCUUACAGGUGCUUAAGAAUAGAAAAGGGCACUGGAAGGUAAUAACUAAUGUCACAGUCACUGUGAAUGGAGAAUUCAACAACCACCCCAACAGGAAUGACACAGCCCUGUUAUAUACUCCUGGGGAUCCUUACAUACCACUGUAUGUAGUGGGAACUGUUACGGAGUCUAGUUGAUAGGUAAUCGACUAGCCGGACUGUUCCCCGGACUCCAGUUGUAGGGAUUUGUACAAUGCACAAACAAGGCUAUUGAACCUGA